rnacentral:piRNA from 1 species
UGUGAUCCAGACAGCUGAGGGAAGG